GUGUGUGUGUGAGAGAGAGAGAUAGAGAGAGUGUGUGUGUGUUUGUUUUAGAUAGAACUGGUAUUGGCUGGUAAUACUCAGUUCUGUCUGAAGUUCAGGGUUAAGUUCCCUUUUAAUGUGUCUCUGUGUGUGUGUGUGUGUGAGGUUUGUCAAAUGCUGGUCAUUGAUCUCAGUCUGUUCAGUAAUAAGCAGUGUGUGUGUGUGUGUGUGUGUGUGUGUGUGUCUCACCGAUGGUUAGAUGUAAGUGAGAGAUUUAGUCUGAUGUUCUUCUGGCUCUCGUUACACCUGCAUGACACACACUUCAUCUAUAGUCCUGUCACAACUCAUAUAUCACACAUCGCUUCUGUCACGAUCCUCUUCACCAACUCAGUAUUUAAUCAGUAUUUCUGCCAUAUAUCACUCUAACUUUCAAUGAUGUAAAAUUAAAUAUUUUAUUAAGAAAGUAAAAA